rnacentral:rRNA from 1 species
AAUGGGGGCAACCCUGAACCAGCCAUGCCGCGUGGAGGAAGACGGUUUAGUAAUUGUAAACUCCUUUUAUGUAAGACUAAUAAGGUACUAUAGGUACCGAUGCAGGUACUACAUGAAUAAGCACCGGCUAACUACGUGCCAGCAGCCGCGGUAAUACGUAGGGUGCAAGCGUUGUCCGGAUUUAUUGGGUUUAAAGGGUGCGCAGGCGGCUCAUUAAGUUAGUGGUGAAAUCUUCCGGCUCAACCGGAUUCCCGCCAUUGAUACUGAUGAGCUUGAGUGUAGUCGAGGAAGUUAGAAUGCGUGGUGUAGCGGUGAAAUGCAUAGAUAUCACGCAGAAUACCAAUUGCGAAGGCAGACUUCUAGAGUACAACUGACGCUGAGGCACGAAAGCGUGGGUAGCGAACAGGAUU